rnacentral:rRNA from 1 species
GACGAACGCUGGCGGCGUGCUUAACACAUGCAAGUCGAACGAUAAAGAAGAGCAACGCGAGCUUCGGUUCAAAUUUCACUUCGGAUUAGUGGCAGACGGGUGAGUCACGCGUGAGCGAACUACCUCUUACAAAGGGAUAGCCUCGGGGAACCGUGAUUCAUACCAUAUGACACAUUCAGAAAGCAUCGUCAGAAUGUUAAGGCUACGGCGGUAAGGGAUGGGCUCGCGUCCCAUUAGCUUGCUGGUGAGGUAACGGCCAACCAAGGCGACGGUGGGUAACCGGCCUGAGAGGGGGAACGGUCACAUUGGAACUGAGACACGGUCCAAACCCCUACGGGAGGGAGCAGUGGGGAAUAUUGCACAAUGGAGGGAACUCUGAUGCAGCGACGCCGCGUGAGCGAUGAAGGAAUUCGUUUCGUAAAGCUCUGUUCUAUGGGAAGAAAAGGACUGUACCAUAUGAGAAAGCCCCGGCUAAAUACGUG